ensembl:lncRNA
UUUAGCCAGGGAACCUGUUAAUUUUAAACCAAAAGUGUGCACUUCUGCACAAGCAGAUCUGGACCUCUUUUUGGGCAGAAGCUUUUCUCCUGCUCUUGUCUUGCACAGCUCGGGAAAGAGGAAAGGUUCCCAUUGCUAAGCCAGGUCCAGGCCAGUUUUGACUCUUUAGAUACCAGCAUCAAAUUUUGCAAGGUCUCAUGGAUGAAUAAUAAACCACUGCAUCACUUCCACAUGCUGUGUUCUGUGGUCUUCAGGAGGAAAUGACCCUUAUCCUUUCCCAAACCAACAGUUAACACACCUUUGUUGAUACGUGUCAUACUUCUGAGGCUCAGAGCUCCUAACAGUCCCUGGGGACUGGCUUCUGCACCAGAGACAAAAAGCUGAGCAGAACGCGCAGAGGAAGCCGUACAAAAGUAACCUAUUGCCGUGCUGUUUGGCUGCUCUUGGCUGUCGAUGACAAGUGGACUGGUGGUGUUAGGCAGCUCCCAGGGGGAGGAUCAGAAGUACUCUAUCUAUGACACCUUGUUUAAGGAAUCCCUGCACUGGGGGCAGGCAGGAGGAACUCUACUGUGGCCAUGCAGCGCUUCUUGCUUGUGCUUUACCAGGAACCAGUGCCCAUGCUGUUUUGGAACAAGAAUGACAGCUAAAGCUCAAGACUUGCGUGACCCAGCUUGGUACCGAGAAGUAUGUGAAUUUAGCAGAACAGAAGCAAAGGAAGAAGAAACCGUCCAAGAGUUGGUGACCAUGUGUGCUGGGAAGGAUGAUGAAAUAACAAAGUAUUCCCAUCAUGAUUUAUGACUGAAGAGAAAUGCUGUCCAGGUGAUGAUCCAGUCCAUUAUCUCGACGGAGGUGCUGACCACUGUAGGGAAGCACAGAGAGCUGAUGUACAACAUGAUGGAGAACAAGCAGAAGAAAGGGGGCUUCCAGGUUACAACUGAAAAAAGCAUAAUUCAUAUGAUUUGCAAUAAUUGGAUGCAAAAGAAAAAAAAAGAAAAACAGAAAACUUUAUCCUAUUGCUCCUCCCCCGAGCUGCCGGAGCUCAGGGAGCGUUGGGAUACCACUCUUAGAUGUAGGGUGUGGGUUUGGGUGUUCCUAUGUGGAGCUGAGGGUUGGGCUUGGUGAUCCUUGUGGGUCCCUUUCAACUCGGGAUAUUCUACAAUUCUGUAAAGAUUACCCAUGUUAAAUACAUGUUUCAGAGGGUAAAGCUCCCCUGUCUCAAUACCACCCUCGGUUGGUCUAGAAUGCUCUAUUUUUUCCUUCCAGUUUUGUGUUUUACUAUUCAUAAAUCAAGAUUUCUUUGCCCUGCUCGGCACCUUCCCAGCCUUUGCAGAUCAUUAAUACCAAAACAGGGCUGUUAAUCUCUCGGUCCCAAGGUGCAUUACCCCACUUGUAGAAAGAGGGACUGGGACACAGAUGGGCCUGUGCCCAGAGCCACUGAGCAUGGGGAUGUACCCCAGGGCCACGUUCACUCCCAGAACAGUUCCCCAUGGGGUGCCUGGUGGUCCUGCACUGAUAGCAUCCAUCAUGUUUUGGAGAGGUUUGGGGGGUGGACCACGGGAUAAAGCUGGGCACAGGGUUUUCUGUCUGCAGUGAGCUCUGUGCUCUACAGCAGUUUUGCUGCCUGUUCAGCAGUACGUUUGCAAUAGCAUAUGUCCUUCCCUGAUUGUACUGAACCCUCAUUCCCAUUGCUUGUACUUCUCAUCCUAUUCAACCCUUUCAACUCCAGCAGUAUGUAAAAGAGGCUAGCUUUAUUUUUCAGGUCUCUUCCUAUCAGAGAAGGUCAGGGACAAAGCUUGGCAAUGAAAGGCAAUUUCUCCAAACCAGUGGGCAAGCAGUGUGGUAAGAAUGCUUUUAAACAACAACAACAAAAAAAUCCAAUAACUUCCCUAUAAAUUGUCCAAGAGAGAAAACUUUGUGUUUUUGGCAUUUGUAGCUGUUUCAGCAUUUUUCUGUGUAAGAUGAAAAACUUUUGCAUUGAGCAAAACACAGAUUUAUGAUCAAUAAAGUGAAGCUUUAACAGUUUAUAGGAGCCAUACAUUCUUUUUUUUUUUUUUUAAACUGAUAUUAAAAACUAUCUUUUCCUCUCAGCCAUGUUAGAAAUCCACCCCAGUGUCAGUCAGGGUUUCAGCACAGCAAACUUUGCAGAGAAAUUGCUGGCUGGGGUUUACUGCAGGACCAGUGGCCACACAAGCCACCCCUCCCUCUCCCUCAUGGGCUUGUGAAAUAAAGCUCCAGUAAGACCUGAGUAUGGAAUUUAAGGUGUGAGCCUGGACUUGCCCAGUGUUUAGAAGCUUUGGGAGCUGGAGGCUGCUGCAGGUCGUUCUCUGGACCAUACAGAUAAUAACUGUCCAACAGUGCUCUGCAGUUCUUACUGUAGCAGGAGCUACAGGCUGAGAGCAAGCAGCUGCCAGAAAAACCUCUGAUUUGCACAAGUGACUUUGGAAUGGCUGGUGGAUAUAUGAACCUUUAUUGGCACAACCUUGGUUGGGCUGUGAGCAGCCAGGGAGUCCCAGGGUAAUUUUAUCUCUCUCAAUUCUGAUGUGCAGGGGCACUGUGCGGUCAAAUCUUCUAGUUCUGGUGUUGCCCCCCUUACCUUUGCCUCAUGCCUGGUAGUUGUCUCUGAAGACACUGAUUUCUACACCGACAAGUGUGCCAGUGAUACUAAACAUGCUCAAAACAGAAACAACUCUUUUGUUCCAAACAGGCCACUGCACUGAUUGUUUUAUAACUCCUAUAAGAAAAUCAUGUCAACAGAUCAUCUGAUAAAAGUUAUUUGGCCUUAGAUUUUCUACUAGCUUAGACCUAAAAUGUGAUUUGAGUAUGAAAUUACUGAGUAUAGGACUGUUUUCACUGCCAUUAAGACCAACGAGAAAUCUCCCUUGAUUAGAUUUAUUAUAAGCCAGGGAGCUGAGGAGAGCUUGUAACUCUUCUUUUGUAAUCCCACGGCCCUGGUUAUGCAGUCUCUGGGCUUUCUGCACAUUACAGCACAUGGAACUGCCUGAAUUGUUCUUAUCUCUUCAGCAUGUUCUUCUUUGUUAAGGCCUAUCUCAAUGCAAGAUCUACAGUAAAAAAUAGGAAAGUGUCCAUUACAAGGCAGGGAUUUGGCUUUUUCUCUCCAGAGCACGUGAUGAAGGCAAUAAAUUUGUCAAGGAGAUAAGCUGGACUCAACCCACCGAGAUCAGUGCCAGUCGGGUCCCCUUCAUCCCAUGAUGUGCCAGGAAAUUUAUUACCCGCUGUGAGAUUUAACUGCACAAAUCCCUGGUGAAUUGAUAGGAGAGGAGAACCUUGCUGAGGUUUAUAGGGGGGGUCUUAAACCCUUAAAUGUUGGUGGCAGUGGCAUCCCCAUAAAGCCCUGCCAGCGGUAAUUUACAGACGAGGAGAUCGACUGUGUUUCCUCUGUGGAAAAAGGGGUUGAAAUAACUGGGGCUCUCCAAGCUGAGUCGCAGCGCUGGAGAAGGUCCACAGGGUGCCGCAGCUUCUGCAGAGCAUGCAGCUUCCACUUGAUUAAAUAAACCUGGGUCUCAGUAGAUCUGAAAAGUGGUUUUCAGAGAGUUCUGGCUAAGAGCUUGCAAGUUUUUCCAUUUCUUUUGAAGAGAAAUUUGCACUCAGAAAAUGAAAGAAUCUACAAAGUGAUAUUUUCUGAAGCAAACACUGACAUUAUGAGCAACUUAAGCACUUUCAUUGCAUCUCUGCACUAAACUGCGGCUCCCGACCGACAAAACCGUCUCUUGCUAAAAGCAACUGUUAUAAAAUUAUGACUAGCGCAUAUAUAACGUUUGUGUUUAACAAGAUGACAGAAAUGCCACCUUAGUAAAAACUGAUUAUGGUUACAGCUGAACAAUUCACAUCAUGCAAGAUUUAUAAUAUUAAGGUUAUGCAAUCAUCUAAUCGGAGAGACAAGCCUUGAGUAAUAAUAUGAAAUGCAUGUACUUCAAUCUGCAGCAGUAGAUUCAUUGCUGGUUUCUUAUUAGCUCAUGCUAGCAUUAGGGCUGCAUUAUCCAUUUUGCCAUAGUCUAAUUCAGCAUUUCCAUCUGAAAACAUAUGCACAAUAAGUGAUCUAUGCCAAACAAUGAAAUGGAAGCAAAGUCAUUUGAGUGACUUUGUGGCUAUAAAAAUAUACAUAAUCUGUAUGUCUUUUGGCAGUUCUCAAUACUUUGUGCUACAUUUAUUUGCAUGGAAAGUUUUCCCAAAAUAAAUAAAAACAGAUAGAAAUUGCCCUCUUUUCUCUUGAGCAUAACGUUUUGGGGCUGGAACAGUGCAAGAAUGCAUCUCACCCGCUUCUCAUCCGGCAGGUAUGAGUCAGGUGUUCUUAUUAGAUGAUGAUUAGUGUUAUACAAGCUAUCUAGAAGUCACAGUUGUAACUUAAGAUGGCAUAGAGUGACUUAAAGUGUGCAUCUUUCAAUAUUGCUGAUUUUUAAAAUCAAAGAGAAUUUCAGUAUAUGUAUGUCAAGAAACAUCUCGGUUAAUUAUUGUACAGAGAAGUCAUAGUGUAACUUCUGGUUAAAAAUAUGUGAUUUCAGGGGCUGAGAAGUUCAAGCAUUGCUUUUCAAAGGCACAUGUUACAAAAGAUGACAAGUGUUUAUAAUGUAAUGAUCAAACUAAUUGACCGAGAGUCAGAUUAAAACAAGACUUUUCAUGCAAAGUGCAGACUGAACUUUCCCCUUAACUGCUCACAGUGGGCUGAGUCCAUUUUCUGCAGCCUGUGCAGGCUUAGGUCCUGCAAGACACGGGUGCCUUGGGGCAUCAUGCGGCACUGGGAGGACUAAGGACCUUGCAGGACUGAAACCUGCAAGUAACAAGCUGUUUGGGUGCUGCUGUGUGGGUGGAUACAUCAGGCUUUUGCAACAAUCACAAUUCUCAGGGAAAGAAAAAAAAAAGUGCUUCAAAGGUAAACAGAAGGCAUUUGUGUCCUGGAGUCUGAUUUAUUAUGGGAACUAUACAUAGCUGUCAUUAAAUGAACAGGCUAACAUGCAACUAUUCAUCACGGUGGGAAAUAUACAGGCCAUUCUCUGCUUGCCUGGAAUCAUUCAUAUUUUUGAAAACUAAAAACAGAGUCCAGGAGAGGAAUGAAUGCAUAAAAUGCCAUGAGAUAUUUGAUUUAUUCUUUUCAGGCAUUACCUCUCUAUGUUCUCUGUGCCCAAGAGUAUUAUUCAAAUCAAUCGAUCUCAGAAACUGUUUCUAGCAAUCUCCUGCUUCCCCCAAAACUCCCUGCUCAAGACCUUUAUCUUCCUCCUUCUGUUGUUAUUGUCAUUACAAUAGACUCAAACGGGUCUGUAAUUUUUGUUUGACUUUGAAGCCGCAUUUUGAUCCAAAGAUAUCUAUUCAUCUUCACAUUUGUAAUACCAGCAUUCCACCUACCAGCCUGCACGAGGCAAGCUGCAAUAUCCUUCAGAGCUCAGCUAAAACAAUUCUCAGCUUGCUGCUUAGCUACAGGCAGAACAGCAAACAGCAGCAAUGCUGCCUGCUCCAAACAGCUCUCUGGGUGCUGAUUCACAGGUGACUAUCAACAUUGAUAUAUACAUAUUUUUUCCUUAGUAACUACUAAUUGCUGAAGAAAUUCAGGUUUAUUUUUAAUGAAUGAGUAAAAAGAAUUUGAAACUACUUGUGGCUACAAAGAGGCAUAAUUGUCACAAACUAGAAAAAAUUACUAAUACAGCCUAAACAUUGCAAUCAGAAUGGCUGCUUCAACACAUAAUUAAACUUUAGUUAAAUCACAUCUUUCAUAGCAAGGCACCUUUACCACAGACAAGUGCCCUUUCCCACCUAAAUAUGGAAUUGCUUUCAGCUGAAAUUGAAGAAAAUUCUUUUGAUUUCUGGUGAAAAGAAAUAACCCAAGAAGGGCCAUGAAUGCCUCCUGAGCACAGAACAAACCUUUGGCUAGGAAGCAAACAGAAAUCUCCCCCACAGAAGGGCUGAAGGAGCAGGGUUGUGUGACCCUAAUGACACACAGGUGCUUCUCAUCACACCUGCUGGGCGGCCUGUUCCAAACCAACUGCCCUCUGGGGCAGAACCUUUCCCUAACCCCCCUGAGCCUUCUGGAUACAGCUCCAUGCUGUUCCCUCAGGACCUCUUGCUGUCCCCAGAGAGCAGAGCUCAGAGCCCUUUUGCCCUUCUGCUCUCUGUGAGGAGCUGCAGGUCACCAUGGUGGAGCUGCAGGCCUCCAUGAUAGAGCUGCAGGCCGCCAUGAGGCCUCCCCUCAGCCUCCCCUGCUCUGGGCCUAACAAACCCAGCACCCUCUGCUGCCUCUCACGUUGCUCAUCCCCUGCAGAAGUUUGUGGUGGAACAGACUUGGCCACCUGUGGCUCUGUGGGCAGACUUAGGGCCUUUCCUGAUGCUUCACAGACACUUUACAAUGUACAUAAAUACACAACAAAACUGUGAGCCAGUUAGUGCUGAAUGUGUACCAAGUAAUCACAAUCACAAGUAAUCUGUUUUCAUAAACAGAGCUGGUAGGUUUUAAAAAAUACUACCAUGUCUGUGACCUUUUCUUAAUUUUGUUAGGUGCUAUUUGAAAUUCUGGUCUUUCUAUUUAUGUUUGGAGUUUAAUUAGAACCAGUCACUUUCCUGCAGCUACCUGCUUGUAGGCAUGCCUGGGUUUAUACUUAAUUGUGGUGCUUUUGCACAGUUUCUCUUUUUUUCCUCAGGAACUGCUGCACAGAACUUCUUUCACAUGUGCAGACUAAUGAUGACAGCCUGCAUGUGCAUGAAUAGCAUGCUCUGGUAACAAAUCAGGAACAUGGAGAGGGAUUUUAAACUGCUUGGGGGUGGUAACAUAGCUGUUUUCAGUUUAAGAUCUGUUUUCCUCUUCUUCCGCAGCCAUCACUUCAUUUCAUGAGAGGAGGUGCCAUGGAAAGCUCUCGACUCACUGUACAAAGAGAAUUAUCCCCUCUGAGCUCCCUUUUUAAUUCUUUCAAUGUAGACAAAGCAGAAAAGACCUGACAGAAGCGGUAUGAACAAUAAGCUGUGUUUUCCAGAAUGGAUGGUGACAAGCAGGAAGUUUUAAGCUGGGGUGAGAGCUAGGGGCAGAGAGAAGGCAGUUAUAGAAAGUUGCUGAACAGAAGUUGUUGUAUGGAGUCUUUAAGAGGUGAGAGAAAGAAAUGGAGAAGUAAAUACUGGUUCCUGAGAUGGUGGGUCCAGUGGUUGGGGAUACCAAGGAACUGAAUGGCAGUCUAGCAGAGUUGCAUCCAUGUUUUCCGUAUUUGAGGGAGGCAUUUGAUGUGCAGGAAAAUGUUUAAGUGAAAAUGUAGGAUACUUUUGAUUCAAGUGUUCACUGAACUCUGUGGAACAUGCAAUUAGACUGAUGCUCUGAAAAUUGACUAAGUAUCCUGCUUGCUUUCCCACUUUCUUCGCUAACAGUAGAGUUCCAGGUGACAGUGCUUUUUGUGGCAAAAGUAUCUUAAAUUCUCACUGUCUGCUUGUUCCCUGCUCUUAGAUUGCCUCUCAUUUCAUCUGACAAGGCUAAAUAUAACUCCCCUCCACCCAUAAAAAGCAAGAGGCAGAGGUUUGCAAGAUUUGCCAAAGGGGCAAAACUUCAGGAUCUGGCUCCUCCACCAGAGGCAGCACGGCUCUAACCUGCAGUCUCUUCACUUCAUCCCAGUGCCAGACUUCCCAAAUGCACCUGAGUUGCCUUUGGAGUUGGUCUGCUGUUCAUUGCCUGUAACACUGCCCUUCCUUUGAAUUUACAAGGCAGGGGAGAACAUGGAGCCAAGUUCAGGAGCUGGUGAUUUCAUUUACGUAUCAGAGGCCAAAAGAAGCAAAUAAAAACUGCCACACAAAAUGAACAGGAGUUGAGACUGGCUAAACACCUUCCUGCAAAAUGGAUUUUAAAAGUGACUCUUGAACUCUUCAGUGGAAAGACAGAUUCAUUUUCAAUGGAGUUUGAUCUUGCUCUUCAGCUUCAUUUGUAAGACCAAUUACAGAGCAUUUUCUACAACAAUUACAGGCAUUAAAACCACUCUGUUCCAUUUGAUGAAUUUUAAUAGUAAUUGAACAGAAGAACCCAUCAACUGAGAGAUUGUCCAAUCAAGUAUGCCCACACAUUGAACUGUAAUUUCUAUUCCACAAAUGUGUAAUGCCAUUUGAAACUACCAAAAUGUCCUCUCCUCACCAAUAACCGAGCAGAUUCUCAAGGAUUUGUUCCUAAACAACUUUAUUCCUUGAGGUUUUAAGUACACAGAAAGCAUGUUGACCAUGCUUCUCCGGUGUACAUGCUUCUACCUGUGUACAGCUCCCCUGCAGAGCUCCUUCGAGCUCAUUUUUGGACAGGGCAUUUGUAGAGUUCUGGCGACCACAAACAUUGACCAGGCGGAAUCAUCUAGCACCUUUUGAUCCUCCUUGUGCAGAAAGGCAGUUUUGGAGGAUUCCCUUCAAGGAACUUCAUAAGUCACAGUAGGAGCAGGUUGGAUUUUUAAUGUUAUUGUAGAAAACAGAGUCCAUCGCUUGAACUCUGGCUUUGGAAUUUGCAAUUGGAUUCAGUUCAGUGUUUUCUCUUAUCAAGAAACAGUGUGCAGAAUGGUGGAAGGAAGAAACACAGGCCUGAAAUAGAUUAUUUGGUAAUGAAGAUAAGCCCCUCAUAGCUACAGAAAAAUAGAUGUUUGGUCCAGGAUUGUCCAGAUAUUUGCCUUCCACGUGGUCUCCACAGGCCAUGAGCCCUAAAGAGACUAUGAUUUGUGUUGUGAGUCCAAAAGCCACAAAUGCAACGCAGUAUGGCAGAGCUAAGAAGAGAUCAAAGACUCACCAAUGCCCUGGGACUCUGAAGGAUGCUAAUGUAUUUCUUAAUCUCUAUGCAUGAAUGUUUUGUUGUUAUUUUUUUCCUACUAGACUUGCUCUUUGUUAUUGAGGUUGGCCUUUGUGGUACAGAAAAUUCCUUGAGGGAAGUUGCUUCAUUGGAUUUGCUAGAAAACAGUAGAACAAAAGAACUAUUUUGAUGAACUUCUCUCAACGUGAUUUCCAAGCUAGCUUGGGAAACAAAACGAGAUUACUACAGUUUAGAUCAGUGGGAGAGAAAUGUCCAACUGUCAGAGCGUUCCUUUGAAGUGGGUUUCCCCUUGCCAGUGGUCGCUACAAAUUUAAGUUCAAUUUAAAGACCAAAGAUGAAGUCUUGGCUUUACUGAAGUCAAUAAGAGUUUUGUCACUGACAACUUGGAGGCCAGGAUUUCAUCUGAGUUGUUUGUACAGGCACUAACUUUAGCAUCUGCUGAGAGCUACAUGAAAUAUUUAUGCUGAAGAGCGAAACUGUAGUGUUAUCUUGCAGCUCCUUCUCAGCACAAAAAUGACACUGGAUCAGUGAAAAAUCACCAGACUUCUCUGUAAAAUGCAUAGUCUCAGUUGAGAAAUACCUCAUACAAGUGUGAGUAAAUUAUGAGCUAUAAUGUGUGAUAUAAAAGUAAUUACUGUAAAUGCUCUUCCUGGGAUAUGUAUAAUUUUUUCCUUUUUGUUUUGGCUUAGAACAGUGAAAAAAAGGAACAGCAGAGGUUUUCCCACAAAUUUAAAGUUCUAGCUCCUCUCCAACUAAAAUCUUGAACCAGAGUUCCUCCUAUUUAAAAAUGUCUGCAAAUCUUUGCCUUCAAAAGUUUAACAGUGCAGCUUCUAGUGAAGAUCAUAGAAUCAUAGAAUCUAUUGAAGGUUAUGUAUUUCUGUACAUAUGCCAAAUAUAACUGCUAGAGCUCUUAUAGGCAAACAGACACAACAUCUUAGAGCACAAAAAGCACCAUUUGCAGAGGAAAGAAAGAUUUCUUUUCUCCAAGGAAAUGGCAUAGUUAAUGUUAAUGCAACAUCUCUGCAUACCUGGCAUCUUUAUGGACUGGCACAAUCAUGCAUAGCUCUGUGAGGGUCUGGCUCCCACUGUGCUAGGCAAGUGAUAGUUUUUUCCCAUGGUGAAGGAAGAAACUUAAAGCAUCAUGGAGCUAUGUGUUACCUGUCUGCAGCCCUGAGAGCAGGGAAUACCUUGGGAAAGCUCUCCGGAGAAGCGAGCCUCAAAAGUGUCUUCCAACACACUCAAUAUUGUGAAAUGCAGACAGGAAAGGUCUUGACUCAAGCUUCUGGGAUGUGGACAAACACAAAUCUAGCAUAAAUCCUUUUUUAUUUUUUAUUUUUUUCCCCAGGUUGCUGAGGCUUCUUUACAAUGUCUUUUGCUCCCAGAUUCAGACAAGGUCCAAACAGGUGAGAGCCAGGAGAAGUGAAUGGUGGCAGGGGCUGGAGACAGAGCAAUGGGGAGAUACUUGGAAGGAUUUGUGUUCAAGGAAAGCAUGCAAAUAACAGGCCAGAGAAAUUUCUUUUCUCUCUUCUUCUCCUCCCCCUUUCAAAUAUCUUCUCUUAUUUGUUUAAUUUUGUGCAUUUUAGCGUUUCAGUCACAGGCUGCUAGUGUGUUUUUUUUUCCACCCUUUACACACCAUCACAUACUGCCGGCCUUUUUUUGACCACAGUCUAUGUUGUAAUAAUAAUAAUAAAAAAAAAACUGGGCCUGAUUUUAAUUUGUGUAAUGUUUUUGUUAAAAAAAUAAAAACUCAACAGCCUAAUUAGGAAAACCGUUAAAUGGCUGCAAUUCAAAUAUAAUUCUAUUAAAUUCUCCCUGUAAAGUUAAUGUUACAGACUUUUUAACAGAUGUUUUAAUUAGACAUUGUUAUUAAAGGGAAUACUGUAGAAAUUAAAAGCAGGUCCUAAAUGUGUUAACAAAGACACUUUUCUUGUGUGGUGCCGAUGGUGGCAGAAACCUUAGCAAAGAGAUUUUGGCAGCAGGUCAUGAAAAGAAAAAGAAGAAAUGCGUUAAAGGGAACAAAAUGCGCUAGGAGAUAUGCAUUGCUCAGCUACUAUGUGAUGGGGGCUCAUUUCACAGCCAGCACCACCUCAGGCCAUUGCCUGAGCUGGAAAGAAGGUAGGGAAGAUGCUUGAGCACAGUGCUGAUAUUACCCACACAGGCACCGAUUUGUCAGAGGGAUUUGGCUACGAGACACUUGCAGCUUGGAGAAUUCCAUAGGAAGCGUCAGCAUUACCAGUAGUUGAGGUUUCAUCUGCUGCCUCCAUGUUUUGGUUUGUUUUCUAACUGUGGAUCCUAGAAUCAAGCAACAACUUACGGAGUGUGUUUUUUGCAGGAUGGACUUCCUCUAAGCCCUUCCCACUGCAGGGAAACACGUAUGCUGCAGGCUUGGAAAUGAGAGCAAGCAAUAAAACAAACAAAGCCCAGGUUUGUAUAUGUGGGAAGGAAUGCAUCAGCAAGCCACUCAAUAUUCUGGGCCUUGAACAGACAUUUUCUGAGUAUAGAACACUAGAACCAAACUGUGGGUUAAAAAGGUGACAGUUGUCGGCUUCACACCACAUCAUUUUCUGGCAGGGGCUGUGGUGUGUGCUGUAGCCAUCAAGAGUGCUCCACUGCUUCAUUUUGUGCUUAACUACUGCAGGUCUGCUGCAAGGUGAUGCCAUUUUGUGGGACUGCUACAUAACCUGGCAGUGAAGUCUCCAGGGGUGCAAUUGUGUGCUGAUGGGGACUCUUCCAGAGGGUGAUUCAGAGCAGAAAUCAGUGGACACGAUGGAGGAAAUCUGGACAGUUGGAUGCCCUGUGUUGGAUGCUUUGUCAUUAGUCUAAAGACAGGUUCUCUUUCAGGCUCCAUUUUAUCUCAAUAUACAGUGGAAAAUUAUACAUCUCACAGUUCAUUUUCUUGCAGCUUUCUGCCACCUGUCACCUGUGAAAUGGUUAGAUGGUUAAACGUGGGCUCUUCUGAGCAGUUUGAUGCAUAAUGUAAGGAGAAAGUGAUAGGUAGCAUCGAUGCACAAGCAUAUAAGAUCAUCAAGGGGUUUUGAUGAUGUCAUAAACCGUAAAGGCAGAGAUUGGCUAUGAUAUCAUCACCAGGCCAAUGUGGUUCUUUGGGGUUUUUAGAAGAAGAAAUUUAUUAGAUGAAUAGGUGCAUCUGAUGUUUUAAGGGCAUUUUUUACCCCCAGUCCCUCUUCUUGUUUCUGAUAGAUGAUGCUGCCGUUGCAUCUAUGAGUUAGAAAAUGAUAGCUGCUCUUAUCAGCAAUGGAUGUGUUCUUUGGAACACAUGUUAUAUGUGGAAUGGAAAGUUGCUAAAGUAUUGUGAGAUUGGCUAAGAAGAGAGAAAAGCACCAGAGGAGGGAUCUCUGAGAAUUGCAGAACAUGUUCAUGCUGAUCUGUUAAUUAGCAUUAAACAACAGUGUAGGAAUGCAGACAGGUAGACAAGGUAGCAAAACUGCAUGAGAUGGAAUAAACAACUCAAAGAGAUCUAAACCCUCUGAUUUCUGCUCUCUGUGACAGGAACAACUCCUUCCUACAACACUGAGAGAAAAUCUGAUAAUCACAGAUAUUCAGCUCUGAAUAUUUUAUCCCUGUCAUUGAAGUCUCUGUUAUUGCCCACUCUGGGAAGAAAGAUACUCAUCUAGAGAAAAAAGAUCCCUAGAAAAUCAUGUUAAAGUGAUGUUAUCACUGGUAUUAGCUAAAAGUGUCAACUCUUGUUCCUCCCUCCAUCCAUAGACUUCAUUUUUUCAGCCACGGUUACCUUUCUGUGGACUGGAGGAAGGCCAGCCCCACAGCAGGACUUCUCAGAGCUCAGAGGUGUCUCAAUGAAAUGAGUGAUGUCUGCCCAUGUACCCCACAAGCAUCUCUGCCAGAUAGUUUUUUUGUUUUGUUUUGUUUUGUUUUUCCUAAACUCUCACUCUCAUCUGUUCUCAAGAUUUGUUUACCCUUUAUUUUUCUUUGUUAUCCCUCCCCUUUAGAGGCUUUUAGCUUAAAAACAGUGUGAAAACCAAAUUAAUGCAAGUAUUCUAAUUUUUGUGACUACCAGAAUCAAGCAAACUGGAAAAUGUGCUGUCUUGAGGGUAAAAGAGAGGUGCAAAAACUCUCUAACAGAGACAACUGGUUAAUUAGCAGAUGUGAAACCAACGUAAAAAAACCAGAACCUAGAAAACAAAUGAAAAUCUCUAUAGCAAUUAUUUCCAGAAAGGUAACAUUUUCCCAAUUAAAGCCAUUCUGAGAACUUUAGCUAAUUAUGUAGGUAUUCUCUCUCUCUUUCCCUUUCUUUCUCUCUCUCGCUUUUAUUAAAGUCCAUCAGGGCUCAUGAUGUGUGGGAAAAGUGCUAACAUUUGCAAAUUGCUGGUUUAUGAUAAAUGAAUUGUGGAAACUCAGCCCCUUGGUUGGGGCCCAGCUAGAUUGCAAAGCACCAGCAUCUCCGGCUGCUGCAGCCCUGACCCUGCCUUUACACCCAUUGAUCACAACUGGUGCAUAGCCAUGACCACCAAAUGCAUACAUUGUAGCUGGGGGACUUGCUUUUCCCAUAGUAUUUCAUCAUCGUUCCACAUCGCAAGCACCAUAGUAACCUUUGGCAUGCCGUCCUGUAAGACUAAUACCUGCAGGAGAUUUCCUCCUGCCCCAAUAAUCACUGCUUCAACUGCUCCAUCUUUAAAAAACCCUUAGUCAUUAACCCAGCUUUGAUUUUCAAAAAAUUCCCGUUUAUUUCAAUAGCGCCAGGAGGGGAAGUAAGGGGUGAGCACGUUGGAAAAGCAAAAUCCCUAAAGAGAGAAAAGUACGCUGAAGGAUACCAUGGAGUGACACGUAGGGUGUGCUCUCACCAUUGCUCUUCAUGAUUGCUGAAUGCUUGGAGUGCAGGAGCACGUACAAGGCCAACAACCCAAAGUAAAACCAUAGUCAAGACUGCACAAGUAUAUAAGGGCCAGGCUCUGCCCCACAUGGGAGAAAAAUCACACAGGUGAGACAUGCAAAGUUAGCCUGGGAAGGAGGACACAGCACCACGCAGCGCUGCAUUGUGAGCUUUGCAUUGGCUUUGGGGACUAUUUAUGGUUUCAGGGAAGACAUAACCGAGAGGAACGCAGCUCUUAGCAGCUGCACGUCAGCUGAGAUUCCUGCACAGGGAAAUUGUUUCCAUUCACACUUUGGAGUCUGUGGCCAGGUCCUGAUCCUGAUUUAAUGAAAACAAUGCCUGAAAGUCAAACGCAUUUUUCUGACAGGCACAUGGAGGUGCUAUUUUAUCUACAGGGUCUGACAGAUGAUGCUGAGCAUAUGUAAAAAAGUGCACGUGUGUGCUUGUACACACGCACACAUUUGAAGCCCUCAAAUUAGCAUUGGAUGUGAAAUCCACCAUCCAUGAAAGAGUCAGGGUAAGAGAUUCUAGUGUCCCAAAGAGGCACAGAAUAAUGAAGUUAUGGAGAGCUGGGAAAUGUUGGUAUUACUUUAUUAGAGUGUAUUGAAGAAAACUGGUGAGCUAGUGCUCUAAAGGUUGUAUUCAAUAAAAAAUGAUUCCUCUGGUUUCCAUGCAAAGCCACUGAAGUACCAAAAAAUCAAUUGUAGUCAUUGAAUUGGGCCAUAAGAUGGAGCAAAAUGGCCCUGGGAUGGAGCAAAAUUCACAACAGUGCCAGAAGAUGUACAGUCUGUGGCCAGGGAACGCUUCCCCAUUUCACUUCUGGUUUUGACCCACAUGAGCGCAGGACUGAUGCAGCAACCCUCCGCUGCCCCCAGCAUUGCCCACUGGCCCCCCAGCCAGAUGGGAAAAGCCUUCUGCUUUCUUCUCUGUGCUAGAACUCUCUCAAAAUGGACGAAUUUGGUGCAAAACCUGCAAUGUGCAUGCAAUGGGCUACUUUUAGUUCAGUUCGGGGAGGUCAUUUACCAAUGAAAUGGAGAAAUGGAGGUGGGGAGCCGGACGCAUCUGCAGAGACUGUGCCUGAACACGUUGCAUGUGAAUAACGUGAGCUGGGUUGAAAUUGGUUUUGAAAUCAGAGUUGAUCAGAAAAGUGAAAAGUAUCUGAGGAGAGAAAUGUUGGAAAAUUCCUGCCAGAAUUGGUUGGCAUUUUCCAGGAGCUCUGUUGUGAAUUCAGUGUCUGUGUCGGUUCUCUCUUGUCUUUAUUGGUGCUCUGAAGCACAGGGUCUGAAGCAAAAGUUAUUGAAUUUUCACUAAACCCUCCCUACAAGCAAAGGCUUUUUCUGCUUUAAUGUUCAAAAAAGUCCAAGUCGCAGCCACCACCUCUAGCAUGUGCCCAUAUCUUUUCUCAUUAUAGGCUGAGGUCCAAAACCAAUACGAAUUAAAUAAAUAUCCCACUGAGAGCUGCACUUUUGAAAACUGCCUUAUUGCAGUGCAGAUGUGCGCUAUCUAAAAUGAGCUUAAACGUUUUAUUUAUAUAUAUAUAUAUAUAUUUAAAUUAAGAAAAUAAAAUAAAACCUAAAUAUUAUCCUGGAAGGAAGUGUUUGCAUUGGUGGAUGUUUGAUUUUCAUUUUUCUCCCAGCAUGCUCGAUCCUUUCAUCCUGUAAUGGUUCUUCUCUAUUAAUCCUUCUCAAAACCCACAGGUAGAGAUGCUUAUUGAUAGAAGGCCAACGUGUAUCUCAGUUUACAAAGGCAUAUUAAAGGAUACAAGUAACAUAUUUCUCUUGAUGUCUUCUUAUUAAUGCAAUUCCACUCAGAACAUUUUGGCAUAAGAGGCAUUGCCAGAUGGAAGAUAAAACUUCACUUUUAUGAGUAUUUUAAGGAAGAAAACAUUUGGUUUGCAUCAGUUCUAAAUGAAUAAUAUUUAUUGCCCUAAUGAUUUGUAUUUUAUAACCCGGAUAACAAAAAGCACUGUCAAUUACUUAGUAUUUUAACAAGGAUUAAAAAAAGGUCUGAUAACAUCAAGUCAGUUUAAAUGAUCAAGUGCUUUUAAUGCUAAACUCUAAUAACCCAAAGCAUGGGCUGUUUACAUAAUAAAAAUAAAUAAACACUGACCACAGCUUGGCUGUAUUUAAGGAUUCUGUCAUUUGUUACUACAAGUCGCAGCUCACAGCAUGCUUUGGGGAGCUCAGUGUGUUACAAUUACAAACACAUCAAACGGGCUCAUUGGGCCCCUGCACACAUCAUGGUGUGCAGAGAUGGGGAGUUGUGGGGCUGCUCCUGGGUGAGUGUGGGGAGCAGAGGGCUGCGUUCUCUACCUCUGAUUUUCCCUGGACAUCAGCAGGUCUUCUGUGCUUACAAAAGAUAAUCUUCCUCUGAUCUUUACCCAUCAAUAGUUUGAUUAUAUUUAUCUCUCUCCUUUACUGUAGAUAAUAAAAUUCCAUGUUUUUCUUCUUAAUUUGCAUGUGUAACUCCUGCUGCUGAAUAUUUUUUAUUUGAUGCCAUUACAGGAAUUAAAUUCCAAAUCAAAUCAGCACAUGGAAGGACCACUCUCAUUUCACUGAGCUCAUUCCAGCAGAAGGGGGAUGAGGAGGCUCUAACGCUUGCAAUAUCGUCCAUGUAAGCACUAAAAAUCAUACUGCUGCACCUCAGAUAAGAUUUCAGAGGUGUAGCUGGUUCUGCUGGGAGCUGUCUCUGUCUGUCCAAGUACAUGGGCACUUGGUUUCUCUUUUAGAUGACCUUUUUUAUCCCGUUCCCUUCUGAUCAAGCACCAAGGGCUAUGUGAUGUUUCCCAUUUUGGAGGCUGGAGGGAAAGCAAAAGGAGCCCUUGAACACUGACUGUGUUAAGGUUCUGUUGAAAUAACAUCAGAUUUACUCUGACAUGUUCCAUGGGACUUAAUAUUGAUUUUCAAAUAAUCUGGAACGCUGUUUUUAUAAACAAUUAUUGGCAAGGGGAGGCGUUGUUUUUGGAAGCUCUUGUAUGUACAGUAAGGCUUUAUUUCUUCUUGUUUUGAAGUGCGGCACGUCUUUUAAAAACGCUGUUCAGGAAACAUCUGCUGUCAAUUAAGGAGUAACACAUUAAGGCAUAUUAAAGUGCACUCUUAUUAGUGUUUCGGCAAUAAAAAGAAAGGUUUUCUAUUUGAAUCAUAUGUUCUUUAACACAUCUGCCAGCCAUCUGAAACUUGCAAACAUUUCUCAAUAAAAACAUCUUCAUAACCUUGUAAAAACUUAGUAAUGCAUGGCACUCUGUUUUCUGUAUAUAUAUAUGCCUGUAUAUCCCUUUAUACACUGAGUUCAGGUAAUUCUCAAACAGGUUAUUGGGCUGAUGCUGAUAGUUUUUGAUAAGGACAGUGACUGCGGGCACUCUGCUCAGUCAGUCCCAUUGAACCCUUAAAGGAGAGCUGAUUAGAAAAGCAAAGCUUUGCCUUUUAGUUUUUAUGAGAACAGAAGAAUCAGUCUUUUCAGCAAAAAAAAUAAUAUUACAAAGCAUUUGAGUUGGAAAAAAAAAAAAGUAUUUGAUUUGAAAAGGGUCUGUUGUGUGUUAGAAAACUGUAGUUUUCUACGGCUUAAACUCUCCACUCUGUUGAGAGCACCUUUCCCAUGGCACACUGUGGUGUCUUGUUGUUUAGCCAAGCUGGUGCAUCCUGCAAAACCCUGAUCAGAUUAAUAACAAAUAGAUAGCUCACAGGGGAUCAUCCUUACUUUAACUGCAUGGAUUUCUGAGUAUAAAAUAUCCAAGCUUCAGAAAGACUCAUGAGACUUGGAAACUGAAGCCAAUCAUUCAAAAUGAUGGGAAAUCAUAACAGAUUGAAAUAGAAACUGUUAUUUUUACCAGUGGGACCAUGGAAAUGACUCGUUUAUCCAUGAACUCAGGUAGACGUGCUACUAGAUGUUGGUGUUUGCAGUGAGUUGAUGUGCUCUUGUCUGUUUCCCAGCAAAAGAAGGGCACUAGACAGAUUUGGCUGCAGCACAGCCUGAGGAAAAGUCUGUGUAGAGGCAGAUAACUGCCUUCCUUUGCUGCUGGAGUUACUGUGGCUGACACCUUCAGCCACAGGGUGUACAGGGUCUGACAAAUCAGGCGCUCAAAGAGCACCAUUGGAAGAGACCCCCCUGUUCCAUCAAAUGUACUUUAUGC